rnacentral:tRNA from 1 species
GAGGGUAUAGCUCAUGUUUGGCAUACAUGAGGUCCUGGGUUUGAUCCCCAGUACCUCCU